rnacentral:rRNA from 1 species
GACGAACGCUGGCGGCGUGCCUAAUACAUGCAAGUUGAGCGAUGAAGAUUGGUGCUUGCACCAAUUUGAAGAGCAGCGAACGGGUGAGUAACGCGUGGGGAAUCUGCCUUUGAGCGGGGGACAACAUUUGGAAACGAAUGCUAAUACCGCAUAACAACUUUAAACAUAAGUUUUAAGUUUGAAAGAUGCAAUUGCAUCACUCAAAGAUGAUCCCGCGUUGUAUUAGCUAGUUGGUGAGGUAAAGGCUCACCAAGGCGAUGAUACAUAGCCGACCUGAGAGGGUGAUCGGCCACAUUGGGACUGAGACACGGCCCAAACUCCUACGGGAGGCAGCAGUAGGGAAUCUUCGGCAAUGGACGAAAGUCUGACCGAGCAACGCCGCGCGAGUGAAGAAGGUUUUCGGAUCGUAAAACUCUGUUGGUAGAGAAGAACGUUGGUGAGAGUGGAAAGCUCAUCAAGUGACGGUAACUACCCAGAAAGGGACGGCUAACUACGUG